rnacentral:rRNA from 1 species
AUUGAACGCUGGCGGCAGGCCUAACACAUGCAAGUCGAACGAGUGGCGGACGGGUGAGUAAUGUCUGGGAAACUGCCUGAUGGAGGGGGAUAACUACUGGAAACGGUAGCUAAUACCGCAUACCAUCAGAUGUGCCCAGAUUGGAUUAGCUUGUGGGUGGGGUAACGGCUCACCAAGGCGACGAUCCCUAGCUGGUCUGAGAGGAUGACAAGCCACACUGGAACUGAGACACGGUCCAGACUCCUACGGGAGGCAGCAGUGGGGAAUAUUGGACAAUGGGCGAAAGCCUGAUAGAGCCAUGCCGCGUGUAUGAAGAAGGCCUUCGGGUUGUAAAGUACUUUAAGCGGGGAGGCGGUACCCGCAGAAGAAGCACCGGCUAACUCCGUGCCAGCAGCCGCGGUAAUUC